AGUUAAUGAACUUGAUAUAAGUAUAUAUUUUGAAAAUAUAAUAUAGGUUUAUUACCUAUUAACUU
rnacentral:tRNA from 1 species